rnacentral:rRNA from 1 species
AUGGCGACGGCGGCGCCGGGGCAGCUCAACCUCGACGAUUACCCGUCGUGGGGCUCCCGCGGCGUCGACUGCUUCGAGAAGCUCGAGCAGAUCGGCGAGGGCACAUACGGGCAAGUGUUCAUGGCCAAGGAGACGGAGACCAAGGAGAUCGUCGCGCUCAAGAAGAUCCGCAUGGACAACGAGCGCGAGGGUUUCCCUAUCACCGCCAUCCGCGAGAUCAAAAUCCUCAAGAAGCUGCACCAUCAGAACGUCAUCCAGCUCAAGGAGAUCGUUACAUCCCCAGGGCCGGACAGAGACGAGCAGGGGAAGCAAAUCGAUGGCAACAAGUACAAAGGGAGCAUUUACAUGGUCUUUGAGUACAUGGACCAUGACUUGACUGGGUUGGCUGAUAAGCCUGGGAUGCGCUUCACCAUUCCACAGAUUAAGUGCUACAUGAAGCAACUCCUCACGGGCCUUCACUAUUGCCAUAUCAAUCAAGUUCUGCAUCGUGAUAUUAAAGGAUCUAACCUCUUGAUAGACAACGAGGGUAACUUAAAACUGGCUGAUUUUGGCCUAGCAAGAUCAUUUUCGAGUGAUCAUAACGCAAACCUCACUAACCGUGUGAUCACUCUGUGGUACAGACCUCCAGAGUUGCUGCUAGGAAGCACAAAAUAUGGGCCAGCGGUGGACAUGUGGUCGGUGGGUUGUAUUUUUGCAGAGCUUCUCAAUGGAAAGCCAAUACUGCCUGGAAAGAAUGAGCCAGACCAACUGACCAAAAUAUUCGAGCUUUGUGGUACCCCUGACGAAUUGAUUUGGCCGGGUGUGACAAAAAUGCCAUGGUAUAAUAAUUUGAAGCCUCCCCGCCAAUUGAAGAGGCAUGUUAAGGAUGCUUUUAAACAUUUUGAUUUUCAUGCUCUGGAUCUGCUGGAGAGGAUGUUAACACUGGACCCGUCAAAGAGGAUAUCUGCAAAUGAAGCUCUUGAUUCUGAAUAUUUCUGGACUGAUCCCCUACCAUGUGAUCCUAAAAGCUUGCCAAAGUAUGAAGCUUCACAUGAAUAUCAGACGAAGAAAAGACGUCAACAGCAGCGGCAAGCUGAUGAUGCUGCUGCAAAGCGGCAAAAGACGCAUCAUCCUCAGCCUCCUCAUGCCCGUUUGCCCCCAAUCCAGCAAUCAGGCCAUCAAAUCAGGCCAGCCCAGCCUACCAACAACCCACAUCCACCAAUGGCAUCUGGGUCAGGUCAUCACUAUGGAAAGCCCCGAGGGCCAGGAGGGCCAAAUAGGUACCCACCGGGCGGGAACCAAGGUGGUGGAGGGUAUCCGAACCGUGGAGGGCAAGGUGGCGGCUAUGGCAGUGGCCCUUACCCUCAACAAGGUCGAGGGCCUCCUCCGUACCCUGGCGGUGGCCCAAGGGGUGGUGGCAGCAGCGGUGGCUAUGGUGGUGCUCCAAACUUUCCACAAGCCGGUCCUUAUGGUCCUGGCGGCCCAGGCCGGGGGCCAAAUUAUCCCCCACAAGCUGGCUCUCGAAACCAGCAGCAGCAGUAUGGAAACUGGCAAUAG